rnacentral:lncRNA from 1 species
ACCAAUCGCAAUUCAUCACCAUCUUGCCCGCUUCCAAUUGAUGACUGGCUAUUAUAUAAGUGUUGACCUAAGCCCCUGCGCGGGGGCUCGGCUCCCGAACCGUACGUGAGCUGUCUCGUACGGCUCUUCCUAAGAACUUCAAGCCCCCUCUCUCUAAAUAGAAAAAAAUGCAUUUACAAGACAAAAAAGACUUUUUCAAAAAGCCUUCGCCCUCCUAUUCAACGGGGCUAUUAGAGAAGCAGCUUCGUUCCUUGACUUCUUUUCUCAGUCAAGCUUCCUUGUUCCUUAGUGUGGGCUUGAUUUUUCAAUUCACAUCGAUUCCUCUAUCUCUUGCUCGCUUCGAUCGGACUCUGACAGCUUAGGGAAGAAUGAUGGGUCGCUAACGAGGCCCCUAAAUGACCGCUCAGAAGGCCUACCUAUUUUUUUUCCCAAUCUGUCACUUGCUCGUCCCUCUCUCAUGAAAAUGGUCUCUCCUCUCCCGGCGGCUUAGGGGCCCGAUACUUGAACUAGAGGAGCGACCAGUUGGUUCACAAACCCCGACCCAGCGUCACACAUUCUCCAGGUCCGAAGGGAUCCAGUGCCCAACUACCGACUCCUCCCGGAAUUGCGUUAUCGGAGCCGAGCCAGGAAUGGCCGUUAGUGGACACCCACCACUUUUCACCGGUUAGAGAGGCCCUCUUUAAUACAUUAAGAAAAGAUGUUCACAGGGGCCAGAAAGACUCGGUCAUAGGAAUAGAAACUGGCCAAUGGUUGGAUUUUAUUUAUCUUCUCUAUAUGCAAACUCCUUGGAUGUAUACUUAAUUUUUACCACAUAUCUUCUCUAUAUGCUAGCUCGCGAUUGUACACAUUCCUUUUAUGCAUAUUUUCUCUAUAUGUUCUCUUGCUUGGUGAGAUGAUUCACGGUACAUAUCUUGUCUACAUGUGGAUCCGUGUGACACGAUUUAUUUAAUCACGCAUAUCUUCUCUAUAUGCUUCUAUUGAAGGUGAUAUUUCAUGCAUAUCUUUUCUAUAUGGAACUAUGGAAGGAUUAUUUGAUAUUUCAAGCAUAUCUUCUCUAUAUGCAUUGUAAAAGGAUUAUUUGAUAUUAUACGCAUAUUAUAUAUGCAAGCUUGAUGAUUUAAUGAUAUUAAAUGCAUUUCUUCUCCAUAUGUGGAGUUGUUAAACCAGAACGGUACUUGUGCAUGUCCUCUUUAUAUGCAAAUGUUGAUAUGUUAUCUGAUAUUAAAUGUAUAUCUCUUUAUAUCUUGAAUUGCUAAGAUGUUUGCACACAUCUUCUCUACGUGAACUGUUUUGUUGUACCUUUAUUUCUUUCUUAAAUUUGGUAUUGUUUCUUGGUACGCAUUAUGUCAUUGAGUUGUACAUGUUUUGUAGAGAGAGUAUUCUUGACUUGAGACCUCAUCACUACUUCACCAAAGUUAUUUAGGAUAUUUACUGAGCAUAUGGGAUUAAUUAUACUCAUACUAUACUUCUGCUUCUUGAGUGCAGAUCUUGGAGCUGAAUUGUUGUGGAUGACAGAAGUUGGCAUUGAAGAUAUAACUGUUUUUGGAUAUAGCUACCACUUGUUCUGGUAGCUUAGGAUUCUAAACAGGUGUUAUAUUUAUUUUCAUACCAACUUUAUAAAUCUAAAUCUUAGUUGCUCAGGACUUGUACUACCAAUUCUUUGGAAAAUUAUAUGAAAUUCAGCUAUUUCAUUUCUUGUUAUUAAUCUUUCACUUGAGUUACAUUAUUCUAUGUUUGACUUACCUAGCACGUUGGAGUUAGGUGUCAUUACGACUAGGUGAAUUUUGGGUCGUGACUAUGAUGAAUAGAAGUGUGUUCCUAACUGGUACAAGUAUCUUGCAUGUGUGAAAAGGCAAAUAUAUGAUGGUGUAUUUUUCACUUGUGUGAUUCCUCAUCUCACCAUCGUCUAAUGUUCAAAUCUCCUCUAUACGCCACUAGGACCAAUACCAAGAUCUUCAAAAGAAGUGCAGAAGGAUAGUAUGAAUACAACUGACCCAAUGUACUCUAUAAGUGUUGAUCCUAACCUCGACGAAGUAAUGAGGAGUCUAUGACAAGACACUCACUAUAAAACAAUAUGAAUAAUAAAUCGAUAAAAACAGAAAAAUAGAGAAAAUGGACAAACUCACAACAAUGGGACCAGGAGGUCAACUAACAAAGUGCCCAAGAAUAACAUCAUCUCCUACCCUCGUAUCAAAGUACAGAGAAAUAGAACACCACAUGUACACACAGUAACAACACGUCAUUUCUCGUUGUGGCACGCAGCCUCGAUCCUAAUACCAAAACACCAAUUAUUGCGGCGAGCAACCUGAUCCAAAUAUCAUUUCAAUAUCUGUUGCAAUGAGCAACCCGAUCCCUAUAUCAUAUUUGUAUUCGUUGCAGCAUACAACCUGAUCUCAAUACCAUUUAUUUCUAUUCUGUUAUGGCGCACAACCCGUUCGUAAUUUUAUUUUAUUAAUUUUAGUAACUAAACAUAAUGAAUUGUCACGACCCCAGUUCGUCCUCCGUGAACUAUCGUGACGGCGUCUAGUCUCUAUGACUAGGUGGUGACGUCUGAAUCCACCGCUAAAAAGCAAUAGAUACGGUCACAGCAAUAUAAUUACCCAAUUAUGAUCGGGGUCGAAUCCCACAGAGAACAAUGUGUAGGCGAUUAGGAAUGUAAGAAAAUUUUUCGCUAGUCGCGUAGUGCCAAACAAUAAGAAUUUGAGUUGAAAAUUGUUUUUAUAUAUAAGAUGCAAAAAUGUAUACUAACCUAGAAAGCAAGUAAAAUGAUCAAUGGCUACAAAUAUGAAAGCAUCGGGAAAUACACACAUGCAACGAUCCAAUGUAUUUCACGAUUUUCCAAAUAUGAGCGAGUUUAUGUUCAUUAGCCACGGAUAAUAAUUCUUAAUUAGCUUCUUCCGAAGACAAACAAGACUUCCUAAUUGANNNNNNNNNNNNNNNNNNNNNNNNNNNNNNNNNNNNNNNNNNNNNNNNNNNNNNNNNNNNNNNNNNNNNNNNNNNNNNNNNNNNNNNNNNNNNNNNNNNNNNNNNNNNNNNNNNNNNNNNNNNNNNNNNNNNNNNNNCUAAGUUGAAUCUAUAAAAUGAGGGUUAACGCCUCAAGUUCUUGUUAAUUAAUCUUUCCCAACCCCAAACUAUUUUUCCUAAAAUUAAUUCGGAGUUAAUGGGCGAGUCAUAGGGUUAGCUAAUCCCUUUGGAAGCAUUAAAGAACAAGAAUAAUUAUAAAAAACAAUAACUCACUUCAUAAAUAUAUAAAUAGCACAACAAGGUAUAAAAUCCACACUUUAAUUAUGAAUAUUCCCAUAAACAAGAUUCAAGUNNNNNNNNNNNNNNNNNNNNNNNNNNNNNNNNNNNNNNNNNNNNNNNNNNNNNNNNNUAUGAAUAUUCCCAUAAACAAGAUUCAAGUGUUGGAUAAAAUACUACACACUUAAAUAUACAAUACAAAGCAAGAAAAUGAAGAAAGCAACAUAAAUAGGUAAGAAAAUCUUAACCAUAAGCUUCAAUCUUCAAGACCCAAGUGUGUUUGUGCAAGAACCCUAACUCCAAAACAUGUUCUUUCUAGUCUUAGAGACUAAAAAUAAGCCAAAGAUGUUUUUUUAAAUGAGCUGAAUUGGGUAAUAAUGGAUUUGGGGUAGAAGAUGUGAAAUUCUAGAACUGCACAGCCUUCACGCCUGAUUUCUUCAUCGCGUUCGCGAGUCUAGUUUUGUGUUCGCUAAGGCCACCUGUUUCUGCUCGUCGCGUUCGCGUAAACACCUUUUCGUUUGCGAAGGUUUCUUUUGCCCCACAUCGCGUUCGCAUUUGACCUACGCGUUCGCGUAGGUUUGGCUACUGGUUCAUCGCGUUCGCGAAGAGUAUUUCACUAGGCAGAUUAUUUUGUCCAUUUUAGCUCCUUUUUGUCUUGUUUUCUCUUGGUUUGUUCACCGUUACUUCUAAAUCAUAUACAACCUGGAAAAUAGAAGUAAAUGACAUUAAUUGCAGGAUUUUAUCACUCAAACAUGGCAAAAGUAUGGUUUAAAGGCAAGAUAAGUCGGUGAAAUACCAACUUAUCACACCCCCAAACUUGAACUAUUGCUUGUCCUCAAGCAACAAAAUCUCUUCCCAAGUGGUUAAACAACCUCAUAUCUUUAUGACACAAUCAAGAAGAUAUACUUUAAGUACAAAUGCAUGACUUCGAUUGGUACCAACAAUUACUCCAAAGCAUAUGAAUUAUCACGCACUUCACAUAAAAAGUCCUUAAACACCAAUGCAAGAGUAGCAAUCAAGUCAUGACACUAAAGCUUCAAAAUUUUCCUCUCCCUCACAAUCAACUUUCUUUUAUCAUUCCUCCCAAUUGAAAAUGAGAUUAAAUUCACAACUCAAACUUCAUGUGCCCUCAAAUUUAAGAGAGGAUACCACAUUCAAAAAUCUUAAUUCAAAGCAACAAUGGGAUAUCAAAUGGAAAGAAUUAAUUCACUCUCAAAAAGAUGUUCAAAUGCACACAAGUAGUACCAUAGGCUUGCCCUUUAUGUAUUCCUCCACUAAUGUAGAUAACUCGAUUCAAAUCAGUUAGGUCUUAAGGGUUGUAGUUUAGGCUUAUGGAUAAGGUAUAGUACAAUUUUGGUAAAGUGAUUCAAAACCUCCCCAAGCACUACAUAAUUUACAAUUAAAGUCCACUUCCUUCAAACACAUUUUCCACCUUUUUUUCACUUUUUUUUCACUCCUAAUCUUCCCUUUAUUCACAACUUUAUUCACUUUAUUCUAUAUAUAUUUCUUUCUUUUUCCUUUUGACUUUUUAUCAUUUUUUUUCUACCUUCCCCAUUUUUUAUUCUUUUUCUUCCACACCUAGUCUUUCCUUUAUUCUAUAUGUAUUUUUCUUUUUCUUUCUCUUUUUAUCAUUCAUAUUUUUUUUCUAUCUUCCACCUUUUCAAAAACUUCCAUAUUACAACUUUUCCAACCAUUCACCCCCAAACUUAGGAUUUUUGCCUACAUAAACACUUUAAAGUACUUAGGGAAGUAGGGUUCCAAAAGAUAUAUCAUUUGUGAACAAAGGAUUUAAGCAUGUAACAUGAUUGCAAAAGAAUAAGGUUAAAGGCUCAAAAUUUGUUGACUAGGGAAAAUAUUUAAGGGUAGGAAUUUUUAGGCAUACUAGCGGUCCAAGGAAGGACUAAUUUUAUUUUUCGAACAAAGUUAAUCUAUGAUUUUGCCUUGAAGCACAUUCCGGGCAAGUUCUAGACUACAACCAAUGCAAAGGAACUCACAAAUAAUCUCACCACACAUGGAACAUGACAUUCAAGUGGAACAUCAAUCCAAAAUCCAAUUGAAACCAAUGACUCAAAGAGGUUGCAUAUAGCAUAAGACACUAAUUUGUGAAUCAAAGAUCCAAAAUUUGAGUUUAAAAAGUCAUGACCUUUCUACUUCACUUAUUAUAUUUUUUUUAUUCUUUUUGCCAAAAUUCGAGUUUAAAAAGUCAUGACCUUUAUACUUCACUUAUUAUAUUUUUUUUAUUAUUCUUUUUCAACAAUUAACAAUUCAUAUGCCUAGGUUUAACUCAUGUUGGUACCAAGCAAGCCACAACUUGGCCAAUGGCACAAAUCCCAACUCAAACUAUUUAUCUUUCCUAAAACAAAAAAAAAACUAAUUCUAACUACAAGACUAAUUCCCUUAAGAAAGUUAUCAAUCCAUCCAUCAUCGGGAAAAGUCAACAAAAAUUUCUUCAAUUACCCGGUUCAAGAAGAAAAAUUGGCAUCCUUGAAUAAAAAACCAUGGUAUAAAGAAAACUAUGGAUAUUGCCACUAACAAAACGUAUACUAAAAUAAAUAAAACUUAAGAAGCUAACAUAUAAACCAAAGCAUCAAGUACUAAACAUACUAAUAUCAACAUACUAAAACAUACCAAUACAAAAUAUGAUAUCAAAAUAAACUAAUAACAAAAUGAAAACAGCCACAAUACUAAUCUGCCAAAUACCCAUAAAACAUAGCAGUUAUACAAGAACCAUCCCCAACUAAAGAUAUUGCAUUGUCCCCAAUGCAACUAGAAAUGAUAAAGUAAAAUGGUGGUGAGUGAUCCCUGAAUACUGCAUCAGUCAGAACUGGAUGUGGUGGGAAAUUUAAUCUCCAAGUUUGCAUGAUCAUCAUCAUCAUCCGAGUUCUGUGAACCACAAAGUGUACUCAACUUCUGCAUCAUCUUGGAAAGCAGCUUACUCUUCUUCUUUUCGUGCUCCUUGAAUUUUCUUUGCCUUUUUUCUGUCUUACCUUGCCUGCGGAUCAUGUUUCCAGCCUAGUGUUCAUGCCUCGAUCUGGGUUGUCAUAUCUUUUUGCUUCGUGACCCUUUGCCUUUUUUCUAUCUUACCUUGCCUGGGGCUCAUGUUUUCCAGCCUAGUGUUCAUGGCCUCGAUAUGGGUUGUCAUAUCUUUUUGCUUCGUGACCAUCUCUGCCAUGGAUGGUAGGGCUUCAGCUCCAAUAUAUGUGCUGGCCCCAGGUGGGCCAGUGGGAAGGCCAGCUAUGAGCUGCCUGACAUGUGCAUCAACCCCAUAAAUCUGGCUGGACAAAUGUCGCAUAGUGUGCGGCCCAACCUGGAGGGGUCCCACAGGGUCAAAGGAUCCGGCAGAAUCAGUAGUGGUCUCUGUGAACUGCCCGAAUGAAGGGGAGGCUACAUCGAUGCACCUCUUUUUCUGCUUGUCACUUGGUCCUCUUUUCAGUAGGGGAUGGAUCAUUGGAUUUCCAGGAAUUUCUCAAUGUCAUUGGGGCAUUUAAGCACCCCUGCAUCAUAGCACAGUCUGGUGAUCAAAUAGGGAAAGAACAGACUCUUAGACCUAACAUUAGCAGCUUCCUCAAUCUCUCGGACAAUAUGCUCUCCCACAUUAAUAGGAAAUCCAUCCACGAGAGCGGCAAUCAUGAGUGCCCUGUCCAUUGUUACAUCGGUGUAAUUUGUAGAAGGUGACACUCUAGAAAAAAUGAUAGAAAGCAAUGUCUUUGCUUCCGUUGUGAAGUCAUGAGAAUCCACUCUCUUCUACACUGUUAGCCACUUUGGAGUGACCCCGCCAUGCAGCUUAUCUAUCAGCCAUUGGUUCCCCCUUCUCUUGCUCUCUCUUUGUAAGCCUCGUUGUCAGCAUUGGAGAGGCCAUAAACAUAUUUGAUAAUCUGAGAGCUGAAAUGAACCUGUACGCCCCGUACGGUAGUCAUCAAUACACCCUGGAAGUCAGUCUAUCAGGCAUUUCCAUAGAACUCCAAACAAUUGUGUGGUUGGCAUUGAUUGGUGGCUCGACAAAACACAUCCAUCCGCUCUCCAUGAAGUGUGCAUAAAACUCAGGCAUUUUCUCCUCAACUUUUCUAAAUUGAUUUCUCUUUCCCGCACAAUGGUUUUGGACAGAAGUUCAUCAUAUCUCCACUCGCAUGCCGCAGAUAAAAACCGCUCAUGAUCUAAAGCUUCCUCUUGUCCAGUUCUGAAAACAUGUUCUUGUGCAAUUUUAGGGUAUUCUGGUUCCAUUAUAAAUCCAAAAUACCUACAAAAUUGACCAAAAAUGUUUAAAGCUCAUACAAACGCUUAACACAAUGUAUUAGGAAGUAUUUAAGCAAAAGAACUGGGCGGAAAAGGUCUCGGGCAGAGCUAGGCAAAGCUACUAUUUUGUGCCAUUUUUGAGACUGCCAGGCAUUGCUCUUCGCAUUCGCAAGCAGCCAGCCGUGUUCGCUAAGAGUAAAAAAAAUUUCAAAAAUCCCAGACCAUCGCGUUCGCGAGUAUACCAUUGUGUUCGUGAAGGUCAAAGUCUGCCUCCUCUUACGCGUUCGCGUGGUAAACCACGCAUUCGCGAUGUAUUCUUCUUCGCCCAAAAAAUAUUGCUUAUUUGAGGCAAUUUUUCAACCUUGUUGUGUGCCCCAUUUUGUUUCUUCAUUUACAACACAUUUAGGCACACAUUUUAACCAGAAUUUUCUGACAAGCGAGCACUCACACUCAACCAUUCUCACCAGCAAGCAACAUAAAGUUUCAAGCAUCAAUUUGCAACUUAAUGCUAAACAUUUUAACCCUAAAUACCAUACCACAAUGGUUGCUCUUCUUUCAAAAUUUACACCAAGAAAAGGGAGAAGAGGAACAAAACUAAGUUGAGAGGAGAGUAAAGAUUACAUACCUUGAAAAUGGAGAUGAUUGCAAGAAGAAUUGAAGAUUUUGAGACACUUUGAAUUUCUUGGAAUUAGGGGGUUAUGGGUCUGUUGCUUUGAGCAAAAAGGGGUAAAUUCCAUUUCCAGAAGCAUUGGGUCGUUUUAACUUACCUGACCCAACGCGUUCGUGAUGGUGCCACACGUACGUGAAGGGUAGCUGUUUCCAGAGGCCGCAAACGCGAAGAUCAUUCACGUGAACGCGAUGGGUAACAGUGCCCAGAGGACGCAAAGCGAAACGCCUCCACGCGUUUGCGAAGCACUAAAUUCUCUAGAGCUUCGCGAACGCGAUGCUCUCACGCGAACAUAUUGAAGUAUAUUUUUUUGCACUUCAACAGUGCUGGCAGCUACUGGUUAUGGCGCUCCAGAACAAUCCGACCUGCUCAAAUUAAAUCUAAAAAUUGGUAGAUUAUUCAAAAAUAAUAUUCUAAUCUAUUCUAAAAACGAAAUUUUCAAAAAUGAUGAAAAAUUUGAAAAACGAUGGGUUGCCUCCCACCAAGUGCCGCAUUUAACGUCGUGGCACGAUGCAAACAAUAUUACCACUUUUCUUGCCACUUGGAUGAUAUGAAUUGGGCACAUAGCUUGGAAUGAAGCUUGUGACCACGAGCGAUAGAGGGUGGUAAGUUGAUGAUUGAGCCAAUGAUUAAAAUCUUCAUUUUGCCCUUCUUGAUUUUCAAGUGAGGGAUGUCGUUUUGAUUCCUUGUCUCCUCAAACUGUAAUACGUAUGGCUUGAGUUUUUCCUCCUCGCAUCCUUCAUUGAUUCAUGAGGUUCAACUUCCGCAUCACCACAUAAUUCCAACAUUGAAAAAUGCUUGGAAUGUGACUUCAAGCGUUCACUUUGCAAUUUAUCUAUCUUGACAUCCUCUUUUCCCCCCAGAUUAGAGUAAAUAUUAACCAAUAUUGCCUUUUUACCGGUUGACUCCAAUUCCAUAUUUUUGUCGACAUCAAUAACACUCAUUAAGUCGGUUGGCGGAUGUUCAGUUCUUGACUCCUCAAAGUAAAUCUCACUUUCUUUCUCGGAAUUGGACUCUUCUUGGCUUUCUUCCACACAGUCAAGUUGUUAGGCAUAGUGAGCCUCAACCAAUUUUUUCGUUUGGUCUUCCAAAGUGCGGAUGUGUUCAUCAUUGUAAUUCAAGGCUUUUCUCAAGUCCUCGAGUGCAAGGUUAUGCUUCUCCUCAUUUUCAAGAAUGGUCUCCAACAUUGAGCAUUAUUUUCUCAUCUUGAGCAUUUGGGAGUUCUUCUUGGUUUUGAUCAAGUGCCAAGGUCUCUCCUCAUUUUCAAGAAUGGUCUCCAACAUGAGUAUUAUUUUAUCAUCUUGAGCAUUUGGGAGUUCUUCUUGGUUUUGAUCAACUGCCAAGGAAGGAUUUUCAUUUUCGACCUCCAAGCGAGACUCUUGGUUUCCAUUCACUUCCGAGGCUUUUUGAGCCCUUGAGGCUUCGAUCAACUAAUCCAUUUGCGAGUGCAACCAUUCAAGUGCCAAGUCAUUUUGAAGACUAGUCUCCAAAAGUUGUUCCAAGGCAUUUUGCUCUUUGUUUCCUUCUUCAAGCAAACACUCCAACAUGAGUUUGAACUCUCCAUUUGGGCCAUGCUCACUUUCUUCCAUUUGCAUAGCCCUAUAAUUCUCAUUGCACAAAGCAAACUCAUCAUAGUAGGGGCUUGGGGAAGGGAAGGUCAAAUAUGCACAAUAAUCCCAAUGACCAUUUUGGCAACCAAACUAAUCACAAAUACUCCAACCUUGGGGUUGAGAUUGUGCGCACAAUCCACCCCCGGAAGAAUUUAAACAAUGUUGCCAUGAGCGUGGUCCACCACAAUAAGGACAAGGGUCGUCAAAAUAUAAACAACUCCCAUCCGACCAAUUAUCAUUAUAUGAUGCCAUUUUUCAAGAAUAAUAAAAUAAACAAGAAACUAACAAGAAAAAUAGACCCAAGGUAAGAAAAAUAAUUACACUAGUUUGGAUCAAAGCACUUUCGCUUAUUUCUCAAUAAAUUACGCCAAAUUGUGCCCCAGCAACGGCGCCAAUUUUGGUGACGUCCAAAUCCACCGCUAAAAAGCAAUAGAUACAGUCAUAGCAAUAUAAUUACCCAACUAUGAGUCAGGGUCGAAUCCCACAGAGAACAAUGUGUAGGCGAUUAGGAAUGUAAGAAAAUUGUCGCUAGUCGCGCAGUGCCAAACAAUAAGAAUUUGAGUUGAAAAUUGUUUUUAUAUCUAAGAUGCGAAAAUGUAUACUAACCUAGAAAGCAAGUAAAAUGAUCACAAGUAUGAAAGCAUCGGCAAAUACACUCAAGCAACAAUCCAAUGCAUUUCAAAAAUUCCAAAUAUGAGCGAAUUUAUGUUAAUUAGCCACAGAUAAUAAUUUUUAAUUAGCUUCUUCCGAAGACUAACAAGACUUUCUAAUUGAAUUAUCCCUAAUCACAAUUAGNNNNNNNNNNNNNNNNNNNNNNNNNNNNNNNNNNNNNNNNNNNNNNNNNNNNNNNNNNNNNNNNNNNNNNNNNNNNNNNNNNNNNNNNNNNNNNNNNNNNNNNNNNNNNNNNNNNNNNNNNNNNNNNNNNNNNNNNNNNNNNNNNNNNNNNNNNNNNNNNNNNNNNNNNNNNNNNNNNNNNNNNNNNNNNNNNNNNNNNNUAAAAUUAAUUCAGAGUUAAUGGGCGAGUCCUAGGGUUAGAUAAUCCCUUUGGAAACAUUAAAGAAUAAGAAUAAUUAAAGAAACAAUAGAUCAGUUCAUAAAUAUAUAAAUCAUUCAAUACGUAAGCACAACAAGGUAUAAAAUCCACACUUUAAUUGUGAAUAUUCACAUAAACAAGAUUCAAGUAUUGGAUAAAAUAGUACACACUUAAAUAUACAAUACAAAUCAAGGAAAUUAUGAAAGCAACAUAAAUAAGUUAGAAAAUCUUAACCACAAGCUUCAAGCAUCAAGACCCAAGUGUGUUUGUGCAAGAACCCUAGCUCCAAAACUUGUUCUUUCUAGUCUAAGAGACUGAAAAUAAGUCAAAGAUGUUUUUUUAAAUGAGCUGAAUUUGGUGUUAAUGGAUUUGGGAUAGACGAUGUGAAAUUACAGAAUUGCCUAGUCUUCAUGCCUGAUUUCUUCAUCGCGUUCGCGAGCCUAGUUUCGUAUUCGCGAAGGCCACCUAUUUCUGCUCAUCGCGUUCGCGUAAACACCUUCGCGUUCGCGUAGGUUUGGCUACUGGUUCAUCGCGUUGGCGUGACCUCUUUCGCGUUAGCAAAGAGUAUUUCACUGGGCAGAUUAUUUUGUCUAUUUUAGCUCCUUUUUGUCUUGUUUUCACUUGGUUUCUUCACCAUUACUUAUAAAUCACAUACAACCUGUAAAAUAGAAGUAAAUGACAUUAAUUGCAGAAUUUUAUCACUCAAACAUAGAAAAAGUGUAGGUUUAUAGGCAAGAUAAGUCGGUGAAGUACCAACUUAUCACUAGGUAAGCCUAAAUUAAGAAAUAAAGACCAAAUUUGCAGAAGUAAAAUAGUUUAAAAGCGGAAUUUAAAACAUUAAUAGUGUCUAAAUGUGCCGCUCGACAUACACCAUUUAUAAAUCUCAACCACUAUCUAACCCAAGACCCGGAAACCCACGAAUCACAAGCUAAGACAAGAAAUACUACAUAACUCUAACUCCGGAGUUUUUUUGUCUAUAAAGUUCAGAAAGUACAGAAGGGGAUGAAAUACUAAAAGUAAAAAUAAAAAGGGACUCCUAGGCUUGCGGACGCGACAGGUUUGUCUGUUAAAAACAACUAGUACUGAAGGGCUAAAAUACUAAAAGUAGGAAUCUAGAAGGACUCCUUGGACUGUAGACGCAACAAGUGUACCUCAAAGUCUCUGAGUAGUCGUCUCCCUCAAGGAUGAUAGGCCUGAGAAGAAGUACCUGGAUCUACACAUGAAAAACAUGCGUAGAAGAGGCAUGAGUACACCACAACGGUACUCAGCAAGUACCAAGCCUAAUCUCGGUCGGGUAGUGACGAGGAAGGUCAGGACCCUAAUGAGGUUAAACAUAAUAUAAAGUUCUAACAAUGUGAAAUAGACAAUAUUAUUGAGAGCAACAAUGAAAUAAGAUAGGUUAUACAAGAAGGAACAGAAUAACACAAAAUAUGAAUAGCUCAAUAUCAAUAGCAACAACGAGGAUCUCCCAGGCUAUCGUCCUGCAGUCUUUUUCAUCAAUUUCCUUAGAUUCUCCCGGGAUAUCGUCUCCUAGUCAAUCAUAUGUAGAUAUUCGAAGGAUCUCCCAAGAUACCGACCCGUAGUCCAACUAUCAAUGCGCAUGAGAUCUAUUGGGAAUCUAACCCGCAGCCCCAAAGUAAAUGUGCAGAGGGAUCUAUCCCGAAUCAAACCCGCAAUCCCAAAGUAAAUGUGCAGGUGGAUAUAUCGAGAAUCGAACCCGGAGUCCCAAAGUAAACAAACAAGGGGGAGCUAUCGGAAUCCCACAUCCUUAGUCCUAAGGUACAUAUACAGCAACAACAAGAAGAUAUUCAAAAUGGACUUGAAUACCAAGGCAACAGGAAAUUCUAGAAUGCAAACAAACAAUUUAACAAAUAGGCAAUUUAAGUCAACUAAGCAUGCUUUUAUAAACUAAUAUAGGCUAUAAUUGCAAGUACAAUAAUGCAGGUAUGAAAGGAACGCAGUUUAAAUACUUAAAGUAAAAUUUGAUUUUUAACAAUUAGCUCAAGUACGCGCCCGUCGCCUUACGUACAAGGCAUUCAAUUGCCGAAUAUAAUAUCCUAAGGGGAAAGGACCUACACACAAGGUUAGACAAGCCACUUACCUUGAACCGGCUCUAAAAUCUACUCGAAACCACACAAUUGCCACGAGUAUCUGAUGUUGGGUAUAGUUAUAUAUGUUUUGAUAUUACUUUAACCAUGUUUUAACAUCUUUUUGUUGCUAUUAAGUGUUAAAAAUGCCCAACAUGGUUUAGUUAUUCAUUCUAUGAUAUAUGGAGUUGUAUGUGAUGAUUUAGGGUGUUUGGAGUGCAAAACAUAUGAAGAAAAGAUGUUCCAACUAGAGGAAAAGAGGUUGGAUGCGUCGCAUCCAACCUUGAAAAAAUAAUUUUUGGUUCACCCCUUAGCAGUGAAGUCAGCCCAUAGCAUCCCCAUAGCAUCCUCACCUGGGCAACGUUGAGAUGGAGGAACAAAGGGUGGAUGUGAAGCUUCCACCUUAGCAUGCGAAGCUUAGAAGCGGAGGAUGAGGUGGAUGCGAAGCAUCCACCCCAGCAUCAGUUCCUGAAGCAAAUUCAGACUAAAAAGGGAAUAAUUGUCAAAACCCCUUCUUACAUGAUUAAAAGGGAGAAUGCCUCCAUUAUUGAAAGACUAGAUCUGAUUUUUGAGAGAAAAAGGAGGAGAAGAUUGAUCUUGGAGAGAAAAAAAUCAAGAAGAACAUCAACUUGGAGCAAGGAUUCAAAGAGUUCUUCUAAAUUUCUUCUAGUAUUUACUGAUAUUAUGUUUAAGAUAUUUAUUGUUGAUUUUUGUAUGAAUAUGAAUAGCUAAAAGCCCAAAUAUUCUGGCAACUUUCUUCUAGUAUUUACUUAUAUUAUAUUUAUGAUAUUUAUUGUUGAUUUUUGUAUGAAUAUGAAUAGCUAAAAACCCAAAUAUUCUGGGGUCAUGGGUGUUUGAUGAUCUUGUUAUUUGAUGCUUAGAUUAGAGAUCUUGAAUAUAUCUAUAUGGUUUGUUUAUUUGAUUCUGCUUUUAAUUAUUUUACUGCGUAGCUAACAGCGAAAUGCUAUUUACGAAUCUUGAGUUAAACUUGACAAAAGAAAUUCUUGAUUGCAUAUAGAAUCAAAUAGAACAAGAUCUGAAUCUCGGGCAUCAGGUGAAGGAUUUGCGAUUAAGAUAGAGAUAUACUUAAUUGCCUUGUUUGGUUGAAAAAUAGGAGUUGUACAUGCAUUCUUGCUAAUAUUAAUACCAUAGACAUAUAGGUAUUAAUUUAAUUUGAAUAGACGCAUAAGAACUCGAAAGAUUCCUAUGAAUAUUAUUAACCCUAUGUAUUAAUUUAACUUGAAUAAACGCAUAAGAACUCGAAAGAUUCUUAUGAAUAUUAUUAACCCUAUAAUAAAUAACCCCGUUAAUUCAAUAAAUCAAUCUUAAGCUAAGAUAGUAGCAUGAUAUCUAGCAAGUCCAUGACCCUGGAAUUUCUUUAUAAAAAUUGUUAUAAACAUAUUGUAAACUUGGUGUAGUAAUUUUUUGUUGAAUUAUUGUGCAAUUAUUAAGUAAGUUGUAAAUUGGUUCUUUAAAUAUUUUGUGAUAGUUUAGCUUGUAUUGAUAAUUGUUUGAGUCUACAUCAGGUGAGAAGUAGAUAACAAUUCCUCGUGGGAAGGAUACUUUACUGACUAUUAUAUUACUUGUCGAUCGCGUACACUUGCGUGAGUGUUUUGGUCGAAACAGUAUACAUAUCGUAAAUAACAUCACAAGCAACUGAUUCUACUAUUUAAUUGAAAGCUAAGACGCGAAAUUAGGUAAAAUAACAAAAAUGCUCUUCAGGCCAAUGUCUCCGGAUCAAAUGAAAUUAACAUUUUCAGAACCCUCGUACUCUCACUAGUCUAACCAUAUAAAAAUCUAUUUAAUCGAAGGUCAAACACCCACUCAAAACUCAAUAAUUAGGUCUAUGAAGUUUUACCCAUUUUCCAUUCAAAAAUGUAAAAGCAUAAGAGGAAUUCGUGGUUAGAUUAGUUGGUUAUAAGAAAAAAGGAGUUUCGAAUCAUUACCCAACUGUUUCCCCUGAAAAUCCCUCGAAAGAUCUCUCAAAUCCGAGCUCCCAAGCAUGAGGUUUGGUAAAAAUGGCUAACCCUCGAAUUUUGGAAUGUUUAUACUGCAUAGGUAUUUAAUGCAUCGUGAACCCAAAGGAAGUCACGCAUACGCGAAGAAAGAAAAAUGAAGACUGUCAAAAUGCUCUUCACAAACGCGAGGAGCAGUAUGCAAACACGAAGCCUGGGCUGACAAAGUUACACGAGCGCGAUGAAGUAAAUAGGCUCAGCCCUCAGAGCCAAAUGAAACUUCGCGAACGCGGAAGGCUUCAUGCAAACGCAAAGGGGGAAAGGUUAUAGCUUCAUGAACGCGGGAGAUGUGACGCGAAUGCGAAGAAGGAAAUUGGUCUGCAACAGCUGAAGCAAGAAUUUGCAAUUUUGAAUAACUCCAAUAUGCUCCGUUGAGCAUCCGAAACAACCCAAGGACCCCGAGACCUCAACCAAACCUACGAACAUAUCCCAUUACAUCAUUCAAACUUGUACCAAUCGUUAAACUACCUAAAACAACGUCAGAAACUCAAAUUAAUCAAAGAUUUAAGCUUAAGAACUUCAAAUUCUCUUAAAACAUGCUUUCGAUCAAAACCUAACCAAAUCACGUCCAAAAUGACAUGAAAUUUUGCACAUACAUCCCAAAUGACAUGACAGAACUACUGCAACUUCCGAAAUUCCAUUCCGACCCUCGAAUCAAAAUCUCACUAUCGGACCGGAAACUUCAAAAAUUCAAACUUCAAGAUUUCAAGCCUAACACUCUCCCAACCCCGAAAUCACCUAACGGAGCUAACAUGCCCAUCAAAAUUUUAUUUCGAGGCCGUCUUCACACUGUUCCAACUACGGCAACUUUUAAAUACUUAAGCUCUCAUUUAGGGACAAAGUGUCCCAAAACUCUCUAAAACUCAAAGCCGAACAUUCAGUAGUUGAAACUAGUAGAAAUAGACUUGGGGAAAGCAGAUAGUAGGGGAUUGAGGCAUUAAUUCUUAAGACGACCAGCCAGGUCGUCAUAUCCUCCUACACUUAAACAUUUGUUCGUCGUUGAGCGAGCAUAGAGACAUACCUGGAGUAGUGAAAAGAUGAGGGUAACGGCUGCACAUAUCCUACUCGGUCUCCCAAGUCGCGUCCUCGGCCGGUUGACCCCACCACUGAACUUUUACUGAAGUAAUAUUCUUUGACCUCAACUUUCUAACCUGCCUGUCCAAUAUAGCCACUGGCUCCUCAACAUACGAUAGAUCAUUGUCCAACUGGACUGAACUGACAUCCAACACGUGCGGCAGAUCACCGUGAUACCUCCGGAGCAUCAAAACAUGAAAUACCGGAUGAACUCCUACCAAGCUGGGAGGUAAGGAAAGCUCAUAAGCAACCUCCUCAACAUGCCUCAAUAUCUCAAAAGGGACAAUAAAUCUCGGACUCAACUUCCUUUUCUUCCCAAAUUUCAUAACGCUAUUCAUAGGAGAAACCCGCAGCAGAACCUCUCUUCGACCAUAUUGGAAACAUCACGAACCUUUCGGUCUGCGUAGCUCUUUUGUCUCGACUGGGCUGUACGGAGUCUAUCCUGAAUCACCUUAACCUUUUCCAAAGUAUGCUUAACCAAAGCUGUGCCCAAUAGUCUGGCCUCACCUGGCUCAAACUAGCCCACCGGAGAUCUGCACCGCCUACCAUAUAAAGCCUCAUAUGGUGCCAUCUGAAUGCUGAACUGAUAACUGUUGUUGUAAGCAAUCUCCGCCAAUGGAAAGACUUGAACCCAAGACCCUUCAAACUCAAUCACACACGCACGAAGCAUAUCCUCAAGAAUAUGAAUAGUGAACUCGGGCUGCCCGUCCAUGUGAGGGUGAAAUUCUGUACUCAACUCUACCCGAGUGCCCAACUCAUGCUGAACGGCCCUCCAAAUCCGCGAUGUGACAUAGUACCUUUGUCUGAGAUAGUGGAAAUUGGAAUACCAUGUAGAGGAAUAAUCUUCCGGAUAUAAAUCUCCACCAACCGCGCCGAUAAAUAAGUAGUACACAUAGGAAUGAAAUGAGCGGAGUUGGUCAGCCGAUCCAUAAUCACCCAAAUAGCAUCAAACUUCUUUUAAGUCUGCUGGAGUCCAAUUACAAAGUCCAUGGUAAUCCUCUCCCACUUCCAUUCCACAAUCUGUAUCUGCUGAAGCAACCCACCCAGUUUUUGGUGCUCAUACUUCACCUGCUGACAGUUGAGGCAUCUAGCUACAUAUCCCACUAUAUUUUUCUUCAUCCGCCUCCACCAAUACUGCUAUCUCAAAUCCUGAUACAUCUUUGCGGCACCUGGAUGAAUGGAAUACCACGAAAUGUGGGCCUCCUCCAAUGUCAAUUCCCGAAUACCAUCAACAUUGGGUACAUUGACCGGACCUUACAUCCUUAAUACCCCGUCCUCACCGAUAGUCACACCCCUUACAUCGUCAUGCUGAACCUUGUCCUUGAGGACAAGUAAAUGAGGGUUGUCAUACUGCCGCUCCCUGAUACGAUUGAAUAAAGAAGACCGAGAAACCACACAAGGUAGGACCCGAUUGGGCUCCGAAAGAUCCAAUCGCACAAACUAACUAGCUAAGGCUUAAACAUCCAUCGCCAUAGGCCUCUCUAAAGCUGGUAAAUAUGCCAAACUCCUCAAACUCUCCUCCCGGCGACUCAAGGCAUCAACCACCACAUUGGCCUUGUCCGAGAGAUACAGAAUAAUAAUAUCAUAAUUGUGAGCACGUGAUUUUUGCCCUAUAUGGCAAUAUUUCCCAAAAAUUCAAAAAAAAUGAUUUUUCUUUAUUUUUACAAUAUUUGUACAUUUUUGUGUCAUUUUUCUGAUAAUUGUUUGCAUCUUGUUUGUGCAUCUUAAUUCAUAUGAAACAAAAAAAAAAUGCAGUUUCAUGUAGGAUAUAGUUUUAUAUUUUUAGGAUUAAUUAGGAAUUAAUUUAUUUUAGAACAAAACAUGAAAAAUCACAAAAUAGUUCACUUUGACAUUUUAUUUGUUUUGAUUGCGAGUUUAUCGUAAAAAGGGUUUAAAUAAUUUUAGAAUUUAAUUAAUUUAUCUUUGGAAUAUUAGGACAUUAUUUUAAUUUUUUGUACAUUUAUAAGAUUAGAAAAAUGUGAUAAACAUACAAAAUGGAAAAAAAUAAACAAAAAUGAGAAUUAAAGAAAUUAGAGAAAAACGAAAAAGAAGAAAAUGAUUUUUGAUUUACAAUAUAGAGGAAAAGAAUUCUGGCCCAUUUUUAAUGCAGCCCAAAUAGACCCCUAACCCGCCCAGGCUCAAUAAUCCUGUUCCCCUAUCCGGUCCAAUUAAACGCUUCACCAAACGAUGCCGUUUUGUCGGUUUAACCUUAGCCGUUAGAUCUUGAUCCAAAGAUCAAGAUCAUCUUAUGUUGUUCCCUAUAAAACUGUCGGAACACGUUUCCCCCUCCCCCCUCCCCCACUUCCUAUCGUCUCCUUCACCCCUCCUCUCUCUCAGAAGCACUAGAGACACCGCCGCCAUAUCCCUCACCCCAAUACCCGGCGGUGCCACCGCCAAACUCGACCAAACUAACACCACCCCUUCUCUUCAACCUCCUCUUUACAACCAUGACAACCGUUUCCUUCGAAUCGUAACUCAAUUGUUCAAAUCUUGAUUUGAAAUCUAGGUCAAUAUACAAAUUCAUCCAAAUCGGUUCAAAAUCACACCCCAUAAUCCCCUAACCUCCCUCACCCUUAAUCUUUAACCAAAAUCCCUCGAAUCCAAGUGGAAUUGAACGGAUUUCAAAUCUGAAGUUCGUGGAAGUUGGGUCUGUUUUGGGGGCCUUUUGAAGAAUCGGGGGUCCAUUUGGUUUUAAGCUAACGUUAUAUGUUUAUUUCAUAUAAGUUCGUGGUAGUUGGGUCCGUUUUGGAGCCAUUUUGAAGAAUCCGGGUCCAUUUGGUUUUAAGCUAACAUUAUAUGUUUAUUUCAUAUGAAAUAAAUAUAUAACAUUAAAUUGAAGCCAAAUUUGAGGGCCAAUCGAGUCUAGAGUAAGAAUCCGUAAGUUUCCUUCUUUUCUUUUCUUUUCUUUUAGUGUGAUUCAUUUUCUUGUUUAGUUCAGUCGAGCACGCUAAAACUAAGUUCAUUUUUGUGAUUUUUAAAAGCAAUAGGUUAAUUCGUAUUAGUCUUCUUUUUAAAUUCUGAUUUGGUGUUGAUUCUUUGUUAGUUUAAAUGCUUAAUUUAUUAGCUAUUAGCUUAAUUAAUUUUUGCAAUUGUCUAAUAGGAGACUGAUUUAGGAAUUUGCUCUAUUUCUUUGUUGUGUGCUUCUGAAUUUUGGUUUGGGGUUCGAUUGCUUGUUUGUGAGAUUGGCUAUAACUAUUUAGAUAGCCUUAGGUAAUUUUUAACAGGGGUCAAAAGGGUGGGUCAUUGAAUCUGUAAGGUUAGUAAUUUCAAGGGGUUUCAGGGGCAGUUUGGGCAUGAGAAAAGGGUAGGAUUUUGAAGAACAGUAAUUUUAAUACAAAGAUGAGGGUAGUCUAGGAAUUGUGUAGCCAAAAGAGCAUCCUAGAAGCUCCUAGAAUAGGGUCUUAGUGCACAUUUAUGAAAACUUAGGGAAUAACUUGAGGAACAAGUUAGAAAUUGAGGUUAAAAGCUAUAACUAACUAGGGAUUAAUGGUGCAAAUAGAAAAUCUGACCCUUUGCCCUCAUUCUUGUCUAUAUAAAGGCAUUCAAUGCCUUGUGAAAAGGGGCUGGAAUUAUUAAGCUAAAAAUCUCAUAAAAAAAACUAAUUUCUUCUUUCAUUAGCCUUGUGAAAGGGGGCAGGAGCUUUUAAGUAAUAAUCUCAUAAAAAAAUCUGAUUUCUUCUUUCAUUCUAGUCCUAAAUUUUCUUCAGCAUUCAGAUAUACAGAAAAAUACAAAAAAACAAAUACAUACAAAAAUAUAAAACAACAAAAACUCUUCAGAAAACACCAAUAUAUUUUAUUUCAUUAGAGCUGUAGGUUCUCGUUGCUGAAUCAAUUCAAAGGUUCAUAUGAACUUAGUGGUCACCAGAGGUAUUGGAGCUGGGUAAAUAUCAUGUUAAAAGGGUAAUGACUUUGUAGUAGUGUUUCAUUUCAUAAACUGUACAUUGCUAGUAGCUUUAUAAUGGAUCAUGCUAGUGUAAUGUUGUUGGUAAAUUGGAUUUGAAGUCAUUUAAAGGUCAGGAAGAGAAAAAGCUUAUCCAUACGAAUCAGCUCAUUAAAAUCAGUAAUCCAUAAUAGAUAAAUAGUUUGAUAAAUUAGUUUUGGAGUUCAUGUCUAGCAAUUAAAAUGAAGGUACGUAUGGUCAUUGCAAUGCGUCGUUGCUCUUGCGUGAGUUGUUGCAAUUGGAGUCAGGAUUAUCAUUGUUGGGACUCGAAUCUCUUGACCUCUUUCAUGAGGUCCAGCUAAUUUCAUUCGGCCUGGGCUGAUUUUGGGCCCAACGUGUGCGUUAUUGGGGAAUUCUGUACAAGCCUGCCACUCUCCGUCUAGUUAAUUUCAUUCGGCCUGGGCAGAUUUUGGGCCCAACGUGUGCGUUAUUGGGGAAUCUGUACAAGUCUGCCAUUCUGUGUGGAUCAGGCUAUUUAGGCCCAAGGCCAGGAAGACAUCUGAUUCGGUGUUGCCUAAUUGACAACUUUUCAAUAAUAAUCAACUGGAUAUCCUUCUUGUAUUACACGUAAAGACAAAUCAGAAAUAUACAAUGUAGUCACUCUAUUAAGUUGGCCUUUUAAAUAAAAUAAUGAGACGAGCCUCGCCGAAUAAAAUGCAAAUUGCGGGGCCCUCAUUCAACGUUUACUAAGAAUGAUUAGAAUUUGGAGGGGCCAUUUAGUGAAUUUCAACGGUCUUUAUCAAACAUUAUUAUGCUAGAACCAUUAAGCGCGAUUGAAUUAAAUUACUUUCUUAAACUCGGGUGCGCAUUGAUGCGAUCCAAAUUCGAAUCUCGACGAAGUGGAAACGUGUCGAUGAUCACGUGUACACUGGUGGUGACGUGAUUAGAAAUACGUUUUCACGACGUCGCACGUCUUUUAAAAUAAAUAAUGGUAAAAGUGGUAUAUAAGUAAAAGGCACAUAAGCUAAUCAGAUAAAAUCAAAUUCAAAACUUGAGCGACCGUGCUAGAACCACAGAACCUGGCAGUGCUUAACACCUUCUCCCAGGUUAACAGAAUUCCUUACUCGGAUUUCUGGUUUGCAGACUGUAACAGAGUCAUAUGUUUCCUUGGUUCGGGAUUCAAAAUCGGUGACUUGGGACACCAUAAAUCUCCCAAGUGGCGAAUCUGAAAUAAUUAAUAACCAAAUCCCGUUCUGAUUGUCCUUUCUGUGGAAAAACUCCUUUACGCGCUUUGCAAGGGAGAACAACGAAAAAGGAUGUGUGACAGAUCUGGCGACUCUACUGGGGAGAAGAACCUAGAACGUUUUGUUUAGGGUCAGAAUUCGAGCUUAGAUAAAUUGUUGUAUUUUGUUAUAUAUGAUUUUCCUACAUGCUUUGUGCUUAAUGUGCUAAUUGUUACCGCUUUGAUGUUAUCGGAACUGUAUAUAUAAAAAGAAAUACAUCCUACAUGCUUUGUGCUUAAUGUGCUAAUUGUUACUGCUUUGAUAUUAUCUGAACUGUAUAUAAACUGUGGCGAUACCCUUCUCUCUUCUCCUACGGGGAUGUGCUUACUGGUGGAGACUCCCUAUUCUGUUAGUGUCAUACCCUGAAAUUAGAAAGAGGCCGGAUAAGUUACUAAGCUGCCUGACCCCGCGGGUCACCGGUAAGUUGCCCCCUGCUCGAUUCGAGUUGUCCGCUCGGGUACACAGUCUAGAACACCGACCCAAGUUUUGAACAUAGAAUAACUUGAUAUCAUGCCGGAUCCCUAGUAGGAGCGCUUAUUUGCAUCAUUCUGCAUUUGACUUAGGGGACUCAACACAGGGGUUGGGUCCGUCUAGGGCUAGCAACCUGAAAUGAAAAAGACCAUACUGAUGCAUCCUACAUGCUAUGUACAUAUAUUUGUUUCAAACCUGCAUGUUGACCAGUUACUGAAUCUCGAGAAUGUAGGAAAAUUGAGAAAAAGAGAAAAGAGAAAGAGAGAGAAAUAGCGGUUAGGGAAUUAAUUGAUUUGACCAAUUUUUGAAUCUCGGGAAUUGUGGAAAAUGAGAAAACGAGAAAAGAGAAAGAUAGACAAAUAGUGGUUAGGGAAUUAAUUGAUUACUUUAGAAAAACCAACACCUCAGUACUGCCGAAACUCUGCCGAAAUUUUGAUAAAAUGAAAAAAAGAAGGAAAAUGUUUUAUUUUGUUUUACUAAAAAGCAAAGGAAAAAUAGAAAAAAGAGUCUUUUAUUUUUGAGUAGGUGUUUGCUGAAAAAGAAAAUGAAAAAGAGUCUUUAUUUUAGGUUGAAAAAAAAGGUUGUUUUAUUGUUUGCUGAAAAUGAAAAAAGAAAAGAAAAAAAAGUCGUUAUUCUGUCUUGUUUUCAAAAUUGGAAAAUGAAAAAUAGUUUGUCAUGAGAAAAUAAAAAAAAUCUUGUGUUAAGAAUAGAAUUCUAAUUAGAGAAAUGGUUGAAAAGUCAAACCCCAAUUAAUUGUCUACUAUUUGGCACCUCUUAAAUUAAAAUCUCAGCCGCGAAAACAAAGCAGGGGUCUAGCGAUACCUUAUUUGUGACGCCGCCACUCCUGCCUGACCGGACUCCGGCGAACACUCCAGCCACACGCCAAACAACCACUCCCUCCCUUCCAGAGAUUAAGCUUCAAACUAAGACCUAGAGACUAAGAGGAGCAGCCAUCUUCCAUCUUCAAGACAAGACCAUCAAUGGCUUCUUCAUCUUCCACCAUGAAAGACAACAAAAAAACCUAACUCUAAACACUAGAUAGAAGCUUCCAUUUCUUUUUGUUCUUAUUCGCAUAAUCAAUUUUUCCAAAUCUUAAAUUUGGUGCCGCAGUUACUGUAGCAAAUCACAAACUGGGCGGAUUUGUUUCAGUUUGAAUUCUGUUUUUGCUAUCAUCUUGAUGGAGUUUUCAAGGGGCAUGGAUGCAUCGUCCUCUCCCCAUCCUUUGGCUGUGGGAUAGCCAUAAAAAAAACUCAUAUAUGCUCAGCAAAUCGAAACAAAAACAGAUCCCAUUCAUCGCACAUCUACAAAACCCAAACCGAUCCAGUUCGUUCAUGGUGAGCCUAAUGUAACUUUUACCAUAGAGGAACGCCAAAAAUUUGCUGUGGAGGAAGGCUUGCAUCAAUCAGUAGUGAUGAAACUAUCUACAAGAGCACCAGAACUGAAUGAGCAACGAGAUCUACUACCCAAACACUUAGGUGUUAAAGGUCGAUGCAUCAUUGGUUUAUUCGCACCUAGACAAUUACUCCUAUGAUUUGAUCGUUAUGAUGAUUAUGUAAUUGCUUUAUCUCGAUCAGUUAAUUAUAUGCUGUAUAAGGGUGUGCAACAUCAAUAUCGUGUAUUUCCAUGGACAAUUGGUUAUAAUUCAAAGGAGGAAACAACAAAACCAGUGGUUUGGAUAUCGAUGCCGAAUCUUUCACCAGAUUUAUUCGCGAUGCCUUCUUUGUUAUCUAUUGCAUCAGCUGUAGGAAAACCAAUUGCCAUAGAUAAGGUAACACAAACUAAGUCCAGACCUAGCACUGCUAAGGUGAGAGUGAUUUUAGACUUAAUGGACAAACACCCUACUCGUGUGAGAAUUUAAAGCAUUGAUAAACAUUAUGGAAAUAUUUUGGACUUUUUCCAGGAAAUCGUCUAUGAUAAAUUACCUUUGUAUUUUAAUGGUUGUAAGUGCUAGGGUCAUGAUGAGACUACCUGCAGAUUACUUGAGCCUCGAAGCGCAAAGAUGCUCUCGGCGCACGUUACUGCUGUCGGCGCACAUUACCAAUAAAACAGUAAGAUUUCUGGCGCACGUUAUCAAGGUGCUCUCGCUGUUGGAAAUGGCUCGCCGUCACCGUCGAGAACCAGUCACAAACUCGGGUGGCGUUACUCCAGAUCCUGGGGUAACUAAAGAGCUCGAACCUAUAACCCUGGUUGACUUUCUUCCACCCUCUUUGCAACCGAAACUUACAGAUCUACAACAUGCAAACGAAGCUGGUACUAGGAAGCAGCAUAUGGAUAGCCAAGAUGAUGACCUUGUGAGGAGACUGCAAUUUUCUGAUGUUGGGGAGUCUGUAGUCUCGCCUCCAACUGCUGCGGAUGUGGUGAGAGGAAAUCGGAAUACUCAAAUGGGGAAAUCACUGUCAUUUGUUCCCCCAGUCAGCAGGGAGGGCCGAAAUGUUGUUACCAUCAGUGAGACCUCCAACUGCUGCUGAUGUUGUGAGAGGAAAUCAAAAUGCUCAAAUGGGGAAAUCACUGUCAUUUUUUCCCCCAGUCAGCAAGGAAGGCCGAAAUGUUGUUACCAUCAGUGAGGAGGAUCUUGAACCACAGGUGGAGUACUGGAAAAACUCUCUGAUUGGAUACAUUAUUGGUGAUAACCCUACUGAAAAGGCUAUGGAGAGCUAUGUAAUGCAUGUAUGGAACUUUGUCUCGAAACCUCAAAUCUUAGCCCAUUCUGAAGGGUACUGAAUUUAUCGGUUCUUGAACAAAAAUGAUAUGGAUCUGGUGCUGCAUUCUGGACCAUAUACCUACAGAAACAAGCCCAUGGUGUUGAAGCCUUGGGAGGUGGAUUUUUCUUUGCCUCAAAUCCUAGCCCAUUCUGAAGGGUACUGCAUUUAUCGGUUCUUGAACAAAAAGGAUAUAUCUGGUGCUGCAAUCUGGACCAUAUACCUACAGAAACAAGCCCGUGGUGUUGAAGCCUUGGGAGGUGGAUUUCUCCUUUCAAAGUGAUGUGCUGAGUACCAUUCCUAUAUGGAUUCGCUUCCCUAGGUUGCCAGUAGGUUACUAGUCAGCAAAGGUGUUAAGCAAGCUUGCAAGUGCUGUAGGAAAUCCAUUGUACACUGACAAAGUCACAGCCCACUUUGAGAGGAUUUUUUUAGUUUUAAUCAAAUGCAUUGCUAGGUUACUAGUCAGCAAAGGUGUUAAGCAAGCUUGCAAGUGCUGUAGGAAAUCCAUUGUACACUGACAAAGUCACAGCCCACUUUGAGAGGAUCUCCUUUGCUCGUGUACUGGUAGAGGUUGAUGCAUCUCAGCCACUACCUAACCAGAUUGACAUUGAUACCCCCUAUGGUCCAAAGAUCCAAACUAUUGAAUAUGACUGGAAGGCCAAGUUCUGUAACCAUUGUCUAAAGUUUGGACAUGAAUCCCUCGACUGUGGUAUGAUGUCAAGAAGGAUGGUGUUACAAACUUGGAACCACUGGAGGGCCCUAGGAGGCAGAGAUGGACUGCUAAGAAGGCCCCUGCUGCUAAAGUACCUCAUGCCACUGUCCAAACAGCUAUUGAGGUAAAUGAUGAAGCACCUAAACAACUUAUGGCAGAUCAGGUAGCUGAUGUAGUGCUGUCUACUCCUCAGAAAGCACCAAUACAGUCGACAUCUGGAGAUCAACUGUGCAAUACACUGGAUGCCAGAAGUACAACCAUUAGAGCAGCAUUGGCUGACAAUGGCAAGAAAGGAAAGACUCAAAACACUGUAGACCACACUGCUGUGAGGUUAAUGCUGAAGCACCUACACAACUUAUGGCAGAUCAGACAGCUGAUGUAGGGAUGGCCACUCCUCAGCAAGCACAAAUACAGUCAACAUCUGGAGAUCAAAUAGGCAAUACACUGGAUGCCAGAAACACUACACUCAAUGCAGCAUUGGCUGACAACUGCAAGAAAGGAAAGGCUGUAAAUGAGGUUUUAGAUGCUGGUAGGAAAGACCAGCAUAUUGAUCCUGGUCCCUUGUGUUUAUGAUCAUUGUCACAUGGAACAUAAAAGGGCUGAACCUAGCCCAUAAACAGAAAGAACUAAAAACCUUUCUGAAUGCUAAUAAAGUAGAUGUAUUGGGUUGUCUUGAAACUAGAGUAAAGCAACAUAAAGCCCUGAAAAUCCAAAGGAAGGUUGCACAGGGAUGGAAGCUGUUUUGCAACUACUCAGAGGCAGUUAAUGGUAGGAUCUGGGUGCUCUGGAAACCACACAUCCAGACUACUAUAUCCUAUGCUUCUGAUCAGUUUGUGCAGUGCUACAUAGAGGAUCCCACUAGCCAUAUAAAAACUCACUUGACUAUUGUAUAUGCCCAUAACACUGCCAGCCAAAGAGAAAGAUUAUGGAGUGACCUCAAAGGGAUUUCUAUUCCUAACCAAUACACUUGGUUAAUUAGUGGAGACUUCAACACUGUCUUAUCUUCUGAAGACAGGAUUGGCUCCACUAUUACUGAGGCUGAGGUUAGAGGAUUCAAGCAAUUCAUUUAUGACUUGAACCUUACUCCCCUUAGGAAGAUAGGAUGGAACUACACUUGGACAAAUAAGCAACACACUUCAACUAGAGUUUAUAGCAAGAUAGAUUGGGCACUGGGAAAUUUCCAGUGGGUGCAACAGUAUGGGCAUAUUGCAGCUGAGUUUUUAAGCCCUUCAGUCUCAGACCAUACACCAAUUCUUAGCACACUUCAACUAGAGUUUACAGCAAGAUAGAUUGGGUACUGGGAAAUUUCCAGUGGGUGCAACAGUAUGGGCACAUUGCUGCUGAAUUUUUAAACCCUUCAGUCUCAGACCAUACACCAAUUCUUAUCAAGUUGGGUGGCCAGAAGCUUCUGCACCCUAAGCCCUUCAGGCUUUACAUUGGCAUCAUGGACCUUCCACAGUUUCAAGACAUAGUCAAGCAUGUAUGGAACUAGGAGUGCAGGGGCAAUGCUAUGCAACAGGUUUGGUCUAAACUGAAGCUCUUGAAGCAGCAGUUAAAGGAUGUUAACAAUCAUAUGGCCUCCUACAGCCAGAAACUUAUCCAGGCCAGAGAAUCUCUUGAUAUUAUUCAGACUCAACUGCAGAAUACACCACUUUCACAGGACUUACGGUUAACAAUCAUAUGGCAUCCUACAGUCAGAAACUUAUCCAGGCCAGAGAAUCUCUUGAUAUUAUUCAGACUCAAAUGCAGAAUACACCACUUUCACAGGACUUACUUCCUGAGGAAAGCUCAGCAUUGGCAGAAUUAAAAAAAUAGAGCAGUGUGGAAGAACAAGUGAUGAGGCAAAAGUCAAAGGCCACUUGGAUUGACCGUGGAGAUGCAAAUACUAGAUAUUUCCAUGCUCAAUGGAAGAUCAGACAAUGCCAAAAUACUAUCAACUUAGUCUACACUGACACAGGAGUGACUCUAAACAUGGAGAUGCAAAUACUAGAUAUUUCCAUGCUCAAUGGAAGAUCAGACAAUGCCAAAAUACUAUCAACUCAGUCUACACUGACACAGGAGUAAAGCUUACUGAUCCAACAGAUGUAGAGCAGGAGUUCCUUACAGUUUUCGACUGAUGGGAGUAUGUGCUCAGGAAUUGCCAUGUGUGGAUAUUACUACAAUCAUAACAGGUAAAUGCUUGUCCCUAGCUCAACAGAGGAUGCUAAUUAGGGAUAUCACUAUGGAGGAGGUUUCUGAUGCACUUCAUGACAUGCCAAAGAACAAAGUCAAGCAUGAUGUCUUUGCUACUACAAGGGACUUUUUCACUACCUGCUCUAUGCCACAUAUGAUCAAUACUACAGCCAUUGCAUUUGUACCCAAGGUCAGCUCCCCUGCAUCAAUCAAGGACAUUAUUUACCAAGAACUGGGAGAUAAUCAAGCAUGAUGUCUUUGCUGCUACAAGGGAUUUUUUCACUACCUGCUCUAUGCCACAUAUGAUCAAUACUACAGCCAUUGCAUUGGUACCCAAGGUCAGCUCCCCUGCAACAGUCAAGGACUACAGACCCAUUGCCUGAUGCACUACCUUGUACAAGCUUGUAUCAAAGAUCAUUACCAGAAGAUUAAAAGGUGUUAUCACUGAACUAGUUGGCCUAGCCCAGUCUGCAUUCAUUGAAGGAAGGAGCAUUGCUGAUAAUAUUCUCCUCAGUCAUGAGAUUUCAAAGGUUACUCUAGAAAGGGUGUCUCUCCUCGAUGUGUACUGAAAGUUGAGUUGAGGAAAGCUUAUGACAUACUGGAAUGGCCCUUCUUGCAGCAGAUUCUGAUUAUUGCUGAUAAUAUCCUCCUCAGUCAUGAUAUUUUCAAAGGUUACUCUAGAAAGGGUGUUUAUCCUCGAUGUGUACUAAAAGUUGACUUGAGGAAAGCUUAUGACACACUGGAAUGGCCCUUCUUGCAGCAGAUUCUAAUAGCUUAUGGAUUCCCAGCCAAAUUCAUUGACUGGAUUAUGGCCUGUACCUCUACUGUAUCCUUUUCCUUAGAAAUGAAUGGAGGACUCACUAAACCAUUCAAUGCCAAGAGAGGGAUAAGACAAGGAGAUCCAAUGUCUCCAUAUCUAUUUGUGCUAGCUAUGGAGUAUUUGAACAGAAGCAUGGGACAACUCCACAGAAAUGAAAACUUCAAUUUUCAUCCAAAGUGCAGGCAGCUAAACUGUACACAUAUUUGUUUAGCAGAUGAUCUAAUUAUGUUUUGUCGUGCAGACACCAUCUCCAUCCAGAUCUUACACCAAACUUUCCUUAACUUUUCUAAGGCUUCUGGUCUGGAGGCAAAUGCAACCAAGAUUGCCAUCUACCUCGCAGGGGUAUCACAAGAGGUUAAAACAGAAUUGAGAGAACUCUUGGGCUUCAGUGAAGGCAAACUACCCUUUAGAUACCUGGGCAUUCCCCUGGAUUCUAAGAAACUCUCUAUACAUCAGUACCUGCCUCUCAUUGAGAGAAUCACAGCCAGGAUCACCUGCUGGUCUGCAAAAUUACUUUCCUAUGCAGGAAGAUGUCAGUUAAUUAAGGCUGUCAUCUUUGGCAUACAAGCCUUUUGGUCCCAAAUCUUCCUCUUGCCUAAGAAAGUAUUAAAGGCCAUUGACACAAUAUGUAGGACUUUCCUAUGGACAGGUGCUGCUAGUGUAUCAAAGAGAGCCCUAGUGGCUUGGGAUAGAGUCUGCAGGCCCUUAAAUGCUGGAGGUCUAAAUAUAUUGAAUAUAACCAUCUGGAACAAAGCAGCAGGAUAGAGUAUGCAGACCCUUAACUACUGGAGGCCUAAAUAUAUUGAAUAUAACCAUCUGGAACAAAGCAGCAAUUACAAAACUACCUUGGGACCUUGCUAGGAAGAAGGACUUCCUAUGGGUCCGCUGGGUUCACUGCUACUACAUCAAAAAAGCUGAUAUUGGCAUAGUCAAUGUACCCAAGCAAGCAGCAUGGGUCAUCAGGAAGAUCCUCCAAUGCAGAGAUGAUCUUAAAGCCAACCAGCAGCUACAAAGCACCCUUGAUGACAGAUUCAAGACUGUGUGCUGCCUUGACAAACUUCAAAUCCAGAAAUUGUAUAUCAGUAUGCUCCCUAGAUUUGAUAGAGUCGACUGGAGAAAUUUACUUCUGGUUCAAAAUGUCCUGCCUCGACACAAGUUCAUUGCUUGGCUGGCUGCCCAAAGAAGGUUACCUACUGUGGAUAGAUUAGCAAUCUAUGGUAUUCAAAUCCUUUCACUAUGUGUGUUUUGCAAACAACAGUUGAAAACUUUCCUGCACCUCUAUUUUGAAUGUUCUGUUACUAAGAAUCUAUGGUCCAGAAUUGGUUGCUGGUUGGGCCAUUCGAGACAAAUCCUUGACUGGGACAGUGAACUGCAAUGGAUCUGCAGUAAAGCUCGUAGUCGUGCAUGGAGGAAUGCCAUCACUGCCGCUGCCUUUGUACAUGUCGUAGCUUUAAUAUGGCAGUCUAGAAACAAAAUACGAUUUCAGAACUCGGUAUAUAAUGAAGAUAGAACCACUAGAGAGAUUGCACUACUCCUUCACAUUCGUGGGAGACAUAGCAGAAGCUGGUAGAUUGGUCUACGACAACUCAACUACUUUCCAUAACUCUUUUUGUGUCGUUACUUGUGGAACUCAAAUACAUAUGAGUUUGCGCUUCUUUUGGUAGUUUCGUAGAAAUUGAAAUGUAAAUAACAUCAAUAGCUGACUGUCCAAUCGGCUACUAGUAGGAACACUUGUACAUUUUUUUUGCUAUAUAUGAAUACCAAGCUUUUAACUGAAAAAAAAUUUCUGGAAAUGUUUUGGAAUUUUUCCAGUAAAUCGUCUAUGAUAAAUUACCUUUGUAUUGUAAUGGUUGUAAGUGCCAGGGUCAUGAUGAGACUACCUGCAGAUCAAAUCCCUUGUGAUAAAUUCAGAGGAGAUCUAAGACAUAUAUUGAAUGAGAUUGAUGAAAGGGUUACUGCUAAGAGUUCUCAAAAUGUAAUUGGGCAGAGUAACUCACACCCAGCCACUUUUACUACUAAUGCUGAUCGACCUAACAAAGAAAAAGUAGCUCAUUCAGUUGCAACUGCUGGGAAAUCUAUUUGAAUGGGUGCUACUGGUGCAUCUGGUGUAACAUCAUCACUUGGUGUAAUGCAUGCUGAUCAUGCUCUUGCUAGAGGGUCCCAGUUGAACGAAAGAGGCUAUGAAAUGGCUACUGUGAAUCAUGAGCAGCAGGGGGUAGUUUCACAUACUAGAAAUCCAGUUUUGGAUAAUGCAAAUUCUGUGCAAGUAGUUGGUGUAAAUGUUUCUGUUGAUGGUGCUGUUAGUUUUCGAACUGUUGCAUCAAUGGAACAAAAUGCUAUUGUAUCUGUCCAAACUGGUGGCGUCAAGAAGAGUUUACCUAUGAAAAUUCACUCUAAUGAUCGACCAAGUUUGGGACAGUGCUCAGGGGCUGGUGUAGCAGCAUCACUUGGUCCCACCAGAGGGUAGUUUCACAGUCUGGAAAUCCAGUUUUGGAUAAUGCAAAUUCUGUGCAAGCAGCUGGUGUAAAUGUUUCAGUUGAUGGUGCUGUUAGUCUUCGAACUGUUGUAUCUGUGGAACAAAAUGCUACAGCAGUGGUCCAAACUGGUGGCGUCAAGAAGAGUUUUGGUGAGAAGCUAGACUCGACUCAACAGAUGAAGGAUGCUAACAUACUUUAUGCAAAUUUUACAUUUGUUGCAUCAUCUGUAGCAGACUUACAAAAGGCUGUUGAUAGACCAGAGGAACCUAUGCAAAUUCACUCUAAUGAUCAACCAAAUUUGGGACAGUAUUCAGGGGCUGUCAUCAUCUGUAGCAGACUUACAAGAGGUUGUUGAUAGACAAGAGGAACCUAUGCAAAUUCACUCUAAUGAUCAACCAAGUUUGGGACAAUGUUUAGGGGCUGCUGUAGCAGCAUCAUUUGGUGUAAUGCAGACUGAUCAUGCUCUUGCUAGAGGGUCCCAGUUUAACGAAAUGGAUAUUGUGAAUCAUGAGCAGCAGGGAGUAGCUUCACAGGCUGGAAAUCCAGUUUUGGAUAAUGCAAAUUCAGUGCAUGCAGCUGGUGUAAAUGUUUCAGUUGAUGGUGUUGUUAGUCAUCGAACUUUUGCAUCUGUGGAUCAAAAUGAUGCUGCAGCUGUCCAAACUGGUGAAUUCAACAAGAGUUUUGGUGAGAAGUUAGACUCGACUCAAUAGAAGAAGGACGCUAACAUGCAUUUUGCAAAUAUCGCAACUAUUACAACAUUUGCAGCAGACUCACAAGAGGCUGUUGAUAUACCUGAGGAACAUAUGCAAAUUCACUCUAAUGAUCGACCAACUUUGGGACAGUGCUCAGGGGCUAAGGCCUCAAAGAUUGUACCUGUAGGUGAGGCCCAAAUUCUGGGCAGUAACGUAUCUGGACAGAGUAAAAGAGAAGCUUGGAAAGUAAUAAACAACACAAUCUUCUACAAAGAAAGGAUCAACUCCAAAUAUGCAAAACAAAUGUCCUCGAACAAAUGACUUACAAGUUGGCACCACUCCAAAUUAUUUUCAGCUCCUUGAUACAGAUUUGGGCAGUGAAUUUGAAGGAGCAUCUGGACAGCUCAUGAUCUCAACUGGAAACAUGAGAGACAUAGUUGCUAAAUAAAAAUUGUGGAAAGAACACCGGGAGAAGGAUGAUGAAGAGGACUGGGGCGAAUUUGCUGGUUACUCUUCUGAAGAAACUGACCAGGAAAAAUUGUGGAAAGAACACCGGGAGGAGGAGGAUAAAGAGGACUGGGGCGAAUUUGCUGGUUACUCUUCUGAAGAAACUUACCAGGAGGUUGAUCAAGAUAGUACAGGGGAGGACUUGGAUGCUAUCAAGCCGCAAGGGACAACAAUAAAUAGCAAAUUAAACCUUAAUGCUCCUGCAUUCAUUCCAUGAUUUUCACCUCCUGCUGGUACUACAGAUGCAGGAUCAGGAAGGGCGGUACAAGCUGCACAAUCAUCUCUCAAGCAGUCGACUAAAGGGGAUACUACAAGUCAAAUGCAACUGCUAACAAACACUCAAUUUGCUGCCUUCAAAAAUGCAGUCGCAAAAAUAAAAUGUGAGCAGCAGCAACAGCAGAAUGCAAGGAUUUUAGGACCUGUUGUAACAUUUUCAACAUCUGAAUAUCACAAAUGUAGCCAAGUUCAUAAGACAAGCAUGCAGCAGCAACAGAACAAUCCAAAUAAGUUGGCUGCCACUUUGGACAAUCCAAAGGCUUCAACAAUUUCAAAUCUUGGGCAUCAGAUAACUUUGGAAGAAAGAAUGCUACUGGAUGCAUUGGUAAAUUCGGAAGCUUCACAGAAUUUACUUACCAAGUCAACUAACGGACAAAAGAAAAAAAAUUCAAGCUGCACAUAAAUGGUUGAAACAAAUCAGGUAAAGACAUUAUUAUUAAAAUCAGAAGAUGCAAAUACUGUGAUGACGCAACACACAAUUCAAAAUUUGCCAAAUCCAGUAAAUGUGGGAAGGGACACAUACGAAGACUCAGAAGAGGAUGCAAUUUUGCAAGAAUGCCGCGCACAUGCAGCAAAUCAAGAUGAUUUAUCACCCAUGCACAAUGGACGUAACAAGAAGCAUCUCACAAGAAUGAAUAGUUGGGACGACAAGGUGAGUGAUGAAGCAAUUGGUAUGAGACCUCCAAUAAGAUAUUCAAAACAAAAGCAAGCUGCACCAACUACAUCCACCUAGUCCAAACGGUCAAAAAAGAAGUCAUGAAUUUUGAAAUCUUUUUGAAAAAUUAUGACAGUGAGGACAAAGAAUUGCAAUUUCAACUUUUCACAAGUUUGGGCAAGAAGGGACAACAUUUUAUUUCUAUCCUCAUUUAGUCUCCCAUUUGUUAAAUAUUAUCAUAUGUAAUAUCAUCACAGAAUAUGUUAUAAAUUCUGUGAUGAUCAUACAAUAUUUGGUCCGUGCAUCUUCUUAUUUCUUACAUGUUUUCUAGUAGACGGGGCUAUUGUUGGCCUCAAUAGAAUUUGUCAGGUAAGGUUUAGCGAGGUUUAGUUAUAUGGGUAACAAGACCGAUGCUAUUGCCCCCCUUAUUUUACUUUUCCUAAUUGUUAUAUUUUUUUUUGCUUGUAUUAAUAUAAAACUAACCCUAGGCGCUUGCCAAGCGGAUUGUCAAAAAAAAAAUUCUAAUUAGAGUGAAUGUCUAUCUUGUAGAGAGUUUUACUUUGAGGCUAAGUCUUUUUUCCUCCGAUAAAUAGAGGGGUCUUACCCCAUUGUAAACCACCCCAAAAUUCAAUAAGAAUUUUCUCUCUCUCUUUCUCUGUAAUAUUUCUCUUGUUAUUUUAUUAUUUUAUAACACGUUAUCAGCACGAGACUCUAACUAAUUGAGUAGAUGGUGGUUGUUUUAAUUUAUAGAUAUACUAUUAAAUAGUUGUCUAAUGUACGAGAAAUUAAACCACCCAUGGAAUAUAUAUGAUUAAUUCGGACAGUAGCUGAAUAUGCAAUAACAUGCUUGCUAAUCUCAUUAUUCUUGCAUAAUAUAUAGGCUUAAUUUGGACAGUGGCUGAAUUUGCAACUACAUGCUCGCUAAUCUCAUUAUGCUCGAGAUUACUUCUGUUACACAUUAGACCGGUACACUCUAAUCAAAAGUUGCGGCUGAACAGAGCCCCACCUCCCUGUUUCACGUCUUCUUCUUGAACCCCCCCUCCGUGCCGGUUCUGGAGCUUCUCCAGUGAAAGAAGAUGCCGGUGGUCGGUUUUAGUUUGUCCGACAUCAUUGUUCCUUCUUGUUCAUCAUUUUUUUUGGAAACUUAUUAUGCAUGAAACUGGAUUUGAGAGACAAGACUACUCUCAGUAGUGAAUUUGUUUUUAUGUCCUAGCAAUCACAUGGCAAACAGAUAGAAUAAUCUUCUGCAUCUUUAAAACCUUGCUGAUGCGAGGUUGCCGAGUUUGGUGAAGUUCUCGUCUGUAAUCGCUUUGGGUUUGUAAUUUUGGAGAAUCUCUUUCAUUGUACGGUGAAAAUUUGCAGCAAUCGAGAAUUAAGGCUUGAAAUGUCAGUCUUAAAUUUAGGAGGAUGUUCAUGAAGAAUAUUAUGCUUUUCUCCGUAAGAGGGGCUCACGAAAAUCUUCUAAACAUAGCUUUGGAUACAUGCACGAUGCUCAAUUUGCUCAAUUUUUACAUAAUUUUGAGCAUAAUGAUUGUUAAGCGUUUUAUGAACUUCCUUCAAGAUUAAUUAUGGAUUUAAGGUAAGUAUUUUACUUUUCUCUUUCAAAUUCUUGUAAUUCUAUAAUUUGAUUUUAAAUACAAGCAUAAACGGUAAAUUUUGAUUGCAACUUAAAGGUAGCUUGAAAGAUAUUAUAACCGCCCAACGUGGUAAAUUUUCUAUGUCUUGCCAUGAUCAAAUUCAUAUAUGAUUGUGGGCAAAGAAUUAAAAAUCCGUCCCAUUGAAUUUGCUCCAUUCUCANNNNNNNNNNNNNNNNNNNNNNNNNNNNNNNNNNNNNNNNNNNNNNNNNNNNNNNNNNNNNNNNNNNNNNNNNNNNNNNNNNCAUUCCCUAUAAAGAAUGUGAUAGCAGUAUGUGAUAAGUCUGAAAGAAGACAAAAUUAUUACCGUGAAGGUGUCAAUGGAUGUGGACGUGGCAAUAGACAAAAUUACAAUCGUCAUCAUUGUGAUAAAGAAGAUAAUAAGGAUUACCAAAAUAAGCCUUCACUCUGCGAAAGUAAUAUUUGUCAUCAAUUUGACAAUAUGAGAUUUUAUAAAGCACAUAUAGAUGAUUAUNNNNNNNNNNNNNNNNNNNNNNNNNNNNNNNNNNNNNNNNNNNNNNNNNNNNNNNNNNNNNNNNNNNNNNNNNNNNNNNNNNNNNNNNNNNNNNNNNNAAAGCACAUAUAGAUGAUUAUGAUCCAUUCAUGAUGUGAGUGUGACAACAUCUAAUUUAUGAAUACAUAUUCAUUCUUGGAAGAAUAUGAACAUGCUAGUUGUAGUGAAUAUACCACAUGCCUCUAGAAGGAGGUUUGAGAUGAUAUAAGAAAAUAAUGUCAUUAUUACUGCAUGAAUGGUCAUUGAUCACGUACUUAUUGUACGUCAAAAUAUUUUGGUAAUGUGAUUAUUCAAGGACAAUAAUAAUGCAAGAAACAUAUCUUGCAUAUAAUUUUGACCAUGACCAUAAUGGUACAGUUUUCUCUUUAAAGAAAUAUUCACUACAUGGAUAUUGAUUAAUAUGUGAUAGUACCUAAUUAAUUGAGAACUCUGUAAGAGCCAAUUAUACUAUUUUCGAGAAACACAAUUGAUUACCAAUAAGGUAUUGUGUUGUAGUAAGUCUCAAAGAAACUUAUUCAGUUUCCAAAGUAUAUGCGAAAGCGGUUGAUUAUAUUGAGACUAUAAAUAAAGGAAAUAUUUAAUAUCUUCUAUUACUACAAGUUGUAGCAAAAUAAUAUGUAUGCGAAAAGCUACCCGCUUUAUUAUGCAGUUUGUACUACACAAAUAAAAGAAUGCCACAAUAAAGUAGAACUUUAUUGACAUAAAACCCAUAUCAUAAUAAACUUGGAGUUUAUUGAUAUCCAGUUGGCAUAGGUGGUUUAGUCAUAUUAAUUAAAGUAUGAUAUGCAAAAAUAAACGAGAAUCUAUAUGGGCAAAUAUUAAAAAACUAGAAAGAUCUUU